rnacentral:rRNA from 1 species
AACGUAGGGGGCCAGCGUUGCUCGGAAUUACUGGGCGUAAAGGGUUCGUAGGCGGUGCGGCAAGUCGGAAGUGAAAUCUCUGGGCUUAACUCAGAGACUGCUCCCGAAACUGCCGUGCUCGAGUGCGGGAGAGGCGAGUGGAAUUGCAGGUGUAGCGGUGAAAUGCGUAGAUAUCUGCAGGAACACCCGUGGCGAAGGCGGCUCGCUGGACCGCAACUGACGCUGAGGAACGAAAGCUAGGGGAGCAAACAGG